rnacentral:ncRNA from 1 species
AGGAGCCGUGUGAGGUGAAAGUCUCACGCACGGUUCUGAAGACGAGUCCUUUACGGUGACGUAGGGGGCUUAGUUUAAC